rnacentral:rRNA from 1 species
UACGAAGGGGGCUAGCGUUGCUCGGAAUCACUGGGCGUAAAGGGUGCGUAGGCGGGUCUUUAAGUCAGGGGUGAAAUCCUGGAGCUCAACUCCAGAACUGCCUUUGAUACUGAAGAUCUUGAGUUCGGGAGAGGUGGUAGUGGAACUGCGAGUGUAGAGGUGAAAUUCGUAGAUAUUCGCAAGAACACCAGUGGCGAAGGCGGCUCACUGGCCCGAUACUGACGCUGAGGCACGAAAGCGUGGGGAGCAAACAGG